GGCUUUGGAACUCGAUAACAAGCAGAGUUUGGAACAGUGUGGAUGAUUCAGAAGAAGACAGGAAGAUGUGGGAAAGUUUGGAACUUCCUAGAGACCUAGAGAGCUCAUAAC